GACGAACGCUGGCGGCGUGCUUAACACAUGCAAGUCGAACGGAAAGGCCCUGCUUUUGUGGGGUGCUCGAGUGGCGAACGGGUGAGUAACACGUGAGUAACCUGCCCUUGACUUUGGGAUAACUUCAGGAAACUGGGGCUAAUACCGGAUAGGAGCUCCUGCUGCAUGGUGGGGGUUGGAAAGUUUCGGCGGUUGGGGAUGGACUCGCGGCUUAUCAGCUUGUUGGUGGGGUAGUGGCUUACCAAGGCUUUGACGGGUAGCCGGCCUGGGAGGGUGACCGGCCACAUUGGGACUGAGAUACGGCCCAGACUCCUACGGGAGGCAGCAGUGGGGAAUAUUGCACAAUGGGCGGAAGCCUGAUGCAGCAACGCCGCGUGCGGGAUGACGGCUUUCGGGUUGUAAACCGCUUUCGCCUGUGACGAAGCGUGAGUGACGGUAAUGGGUAAAGAAGCACCGGCUAACUACGUG
rnacentral:rRNA from 1 species